UACGGAGGGUGCAAGCGUUAUCCGGAUUUACUGGGUUUAAAGGGUGCGCAGGCGGAUAUGUAAGUCAGUGGUGAAAUCUCUAGGCUUAACCUGGAAAUUGCCGUUGAUACUAUAUAUCUUGAAUGCUGUGGAGGUAAGCGGAAUAUGUCAUGUAGCGGUGAAAUGCUUAGAUAUGACAUAGAACACCAAUUGCGAAGGCAGCUGGCUACACAAAUAUUGACACUGAGGCACGAAAGCGUGGGGAUCAAACAGG
rnacentral:rRNA from 1 species